rnacentral:rRNA from 1 species
AUUGAACGCUGGCGGCAGGCCUAACACAUGCAAGUCGAGCGGAUGAAGGGAGCUUGCUCCUGGAUUCAGCGGCGGACGGGUGAGUAAUGCCUAGGAAUCUGCCUGGUAGUGGGGGAUAACGUCCGGAAACGGGCGCUAAUACCGCAUACGUCCUGAGGGAGAAGGUGGGGGAUCUUCGGACCUCACGCUAUAAGAUGAGCCUAGGUCGGAUUAGCUAGUUGGUGGGGUAAAGGCCUACCAAGGCGACGAUCCGUAACUGGUCUGAGAGGAUGAUCAGUCACACUGGAACUGAGACACGGUCCAGACUCCUACGGGAGGCAGCAGUGGGGAAUAUUGGACAAUGGGCGAAAGCCUGAUCCAGCCAUGCCGCGUGUGUGAAGAAGGUCUUCGGAUUGUAAAGCACUUUAAGUUGGGAGGAAGGGCAGUAAGUUAAUACCUUGCUGUUUUGACGUUACCAACAGAAUAAGCACCGGCUAACUUCGUG